GCCUGGGUGGCUCAGUCGGUUAAGCAUCUGACUUCAGCUCAGGUCAUGAUCUCACGGUUCGUGAGUUUGAGCCCCACAUUGGGCU
rnacentral:tRNA from 1 species